UUCAGUUGUCUAGCAUACCAUCUUCCUUCUGUGAUCUUAAGCCGAGACCAUAAAGGUUUUAAUUAAUAAUUCUCACCACAAAUCUUCCAGGUGUGUGCCAGUGAGGAUUACUUAACUGAAGCAAAUAAGGGUAGAAGUAUACAUAACCAUUCCUCAGUGUCUGUGGGGGAUUGACUCCAUGAUCUUCCUGGAAUACCAAAAUCUUCAGAUGCUCAAGUCUCUUUUAUAAGAUGGUAUAGUGUUUACAUGUGAUCUACAUACAUCUCCAGUGAAGGAAGAAGCAAGGACAUCACCUUGGAGUGAGAAUGAGAGAGAUGUUACUGGAUACUUGAGGAGAAAGAAGUUGAUAUGACAUUGUCACCUAAGGGAGCAAGGGACUGAAUGGACAAGAAAAUGAAGUGUGAUGUAGUAGUUCAUGAAAGUGGAAUAAAAUCUAAUCUCAUCUAAGGAUGUCUUCCACAGCUAUGCUGCCUCGACAUGAAUUAGACAAGUGCAGAGGGACCCAGAGGAAGAAUUCAACCCAGGCAGCUGGGCUCUUCACCGCACGGCCUGCUUUACCUCAUACACAGAUUAUUUAAGAAUGCCAUCAUCCCCAGUUGUCCUGUACACCGUGACAUGGCUACUGGCAUCUUUCACUGGAGAGAAUUAUGGUUAUCAAUAAUCUCCUAUUGGGGUGUGGAUAAUUUUGAAAAGAACACUUGAAGCAGCUAUUCUUCGUAUAUGGAAGCAAUGGCCACUAGAGAGAUAAAAUGAGUAAGAGACUACUCUGGAACUUACAGAUGGUCUUCCCCAAAGUCAGACUACUAGGAGGCUCUCUGAUAGAGAAAGAGGUUUGGUCUCCACUCCUUCCUGAAGUGUUUUAAGAGCUAAAAAUGGGAGACCGAAUCAUGGGAGCAGUUGCUGGUUGGUGCUGCAAACCUAAAACAGCCCCACCUGCAAAGUCUUUACAGAUCUGUGGACUCAAAUUAUUUAGAUAUCGAAAAUCACCUACAUAAUUAUUGGUCUCAAAUUUUAAUAUAAACUGAAGACACACACUUAUCUUCUUUCUUUCUAUUAAUGUGACAUCAUUUGUCUCCAAAUUUUGUUGACUUUGCAUACCAUUGCACAUAAAUAAAGGAAUGUAUGUGAUAUAGAUACUGUA